rnacentral:rRNA from 1 species
UACCUGUGUGACUGCGUACCUUUUGUAUAAUGGGUCAGCGACUUAUAUUCUGUAGCAAGGUUAACCGAAUAGGGGAGCCGGAGGGAAACCGAGUCUUAAUUGGGCGUUAAGUUGCAGGGUAUAGACCCGAAACCCGGUGAUCUAGCCAUGGGCAGGUUGAAGGUUGGGUAACACUAACUGGAGGACCGAACCGACUAAUGUUGAAAAAUUAGCGGAUGACCUGUGGCUGGGGGUGAAAGGCCAAUCAAACCGGGAGAUAGCUGGUUCUCCCCGAAAGCUAUUUAGGUAGCGCCUCGUGAAUUCAUCUCCGGGGGUAGAGCACUGUUUCGGCUAGGGGGCCAUCCCGGCUUACCAACCCGAUGCAAACUGCGAAUACCGGAGAAUGUUAUCACGGGAGACACACGGCGGGUGCUAACGUCCGUCGUGAAGAGGGAAACAACCCAGACCGCCAGCUAAGGUCCCAAAGUCAUGGUUAAGUGGGAAACGAUGUGGGAAGGCCCAGACAGCCAGGAUGUUGGCUUAGAAGCAGCCAUCAUUUAAAGAAAGCGUAAUAGCUCACUGGUCGAGUCGGCCUGCGCGGAAGAUGUAACGGGGCUAAACCAUGCACCGAAGCUGCGGCAGCGACGCUUAUGCGUUGUUGGGUAGGGGAGCGUUCUGUAAGCCUGUGAAGGUGGCCUGUGAGGGUUGCUGGAGGUAUCAGAAGUGCGAAUGCUGACAUAAGUAACGAUAAAGCGGGUGAAAAGCCCGCUCGCCGGAAGACCAAGGGUUCCUGUCCAACGUUAAUCGGGGCAGGGUGAGUCGACCCCUAAGGCGAGGCCGAAAGGCGUAGUCGAUGGGAAACGGGUUAAUAUUCCCGUACUUGGUGUUACUGCGAAGGGGGGACGGAGAAGGCU